rnacentral:rRNA from 1 species
AUUUUGGACAAUGGGCGAAAGCCUGAUCCAGCAAUGCCGCGUGUGUGAAGAAGGCCUUCGGGUUGUAAAGCUCUUUUGGCGGGGACGAUGAUGACGGUACCCGCAGAAUAAGCCCCGGCUAACUUCGUGCCAGCAGCCGCGGUAAGACGAAGGGGGCUAGAGUUGUUCGGAAUUACUGGGCGUAAAGCGAGUGUAGGUGGUUGUCAUAGUCAGGUGUGAAAGCCUUGAGCUCAACUCAAGAAAUGCACUUGAUACUGGGCGACUAGAGGACCGGAGAGGAUAGUGGAAUUCCCAGUGUAGUGGUGAAAUACGUAGAGAUUGGGAAGAACACCAGUGGCGAAGGCGGCUAUCUGGACGGUUUCUGACACUAAGACUCGAAAGCGUGGGGAGCAAACAGG